rnacentral:lncRNA from 1 species
CCUCCUCUGAAAUCAAAACUCUUUAAUUAAAGAGACAUGAAAUGACAAGAUUUUAAAAAAAUCCCAUGAGGAGAAGGCAUUCUAAUUUAGUUCUAGUUUCCUCGCUUUAUUUUCAAAACUUGAAGACUGCAAUACAUCUAUCUUCCUACACACUGGAUUGCAUACCCGUUUACAGAUCUGGGAAAAGUACUUUCUUAGAGGAAGAACUCCCCCUUGGAAAAACCAUCAGUGCCGGAAGAUUUCCUAUUGUGUUGAUCCAUGGCAAAGGAGACUGCAGAUACACAAGGGAUAUUAUGGAGCCCAGACGACCUGAAUAAAACCCUUCCCUACUACAAGGACAGCUGUCCCUUCCCUACACACUCCCUACAGGCUGAUGAGAGACCUUUUUUGGAAGCAGAAACUUAUACUUUAUGCUGCCUUCUUCCUGACUGCCAGGAUUAUACUCUUCCUUUCCAUCCCAGAUCUAGCAAUGCUGUUGAUGAGGCUAAGUCAUGAUGAUUUCUUUAAUAUCUUGGAACACAGUAGAUGCCUGAUAUUUGCGGAUGGACUGGAGAAAAACUGAAAGUAUAAACCACAACAUCUCAAGAGAUGUCAUGAAUGGAGAAGCAUAUGGUAAAAUAUAAUGAAAAUUAAAUCUACUUUACAAGUGGUAUCUUCUUGACAAUAGUGGCAUUACCUGAGCCAGUAUCAGGGACCAGAAAUACAACAUAAAACUGAUACAUUUCUCUUAAUCCCCACAUGAUUUUGUUUUUGAGUUUAUAGUUAUCAGUGAUCAUUGAUUAAUAAUUGAUCAGUGAUCAGUGACAAAUGUAUACUUUUUCUACUUGUAUUGUUAGCCCUCAGAUUGAUGGUAGUUAGCCCAGGAAUGGAAAGACCAAGGGGAGAUGAUUUAAUUCUAGUCAAAUAUUAAAAGGUCAUCAUGUAAAUGAAAUAAUCCCAAGACUACAACUAGAGGGGCAGAUUUCAGCUUACUAUUAGGGAGUAAUUUCAACAGGAUAUGGAAGGGAUAUCCAAAUGGCAGGGAGGCCAUUGUGGGAUAUGACAGGGACGCCAUUGCAGGAAAUAUAAGAACAGAAGAUCCUCUGGGGGAUUUUUGUUCUUUGUGGGAGUUUGGAUUAGCUGCUCCUGCCUGGGAUCCUUUCAGCUCUCAAUUCUGUGAAACUCAACAAUGAAAGCAGAGGUGUUUUCCUUUACUUAGCUAGUGCCAACACAAAACUUUGAACUCAAGUGACCUGAUAACAUAACUGUGGGUCAAUACCGAGGAACUAACACUCCUAGUUCCUUUUCAAUUCCCCAAGACAACAUCAGUAUAGAUUUUCAAGAUGAAUAUAUGCCCAGUAAGUAUGGCUUAUCCUGUACUGGAAGAAUAGGUUCUUUCACACUUAAUGUGAUUAUUUUUUGUCUUCAUAGGGUGACUUCAAGUCUUUUUUAAUGUGAACCUUACAGUGGGGUUUGUUCUGAAUAUAUUUAUUUGCAUUUGAUAUAGAGAGGCUCAAAAAAGGAAAACUGACGGACCUAAUAAAAUAAAAAAAUAGUAGUUGAAUAAAAAAAUUUCUGGAGGGACACACAAAUAAUGGUUACUCUCUCUGCAUGCCAUGGGAGAUAGUGGUGAAGGGAGGAGGGACACUUUUGCAAUUCAUUUGAUCUCUUCCACAGUAUCUGAAUUAUUUGCAAGUAUACGUAUUCCAUUUGUAAUAAAAAAGUAAAGACUAGAAAUUCUUUUUGGAAAACUGUACAUACUGUAGAACAUGGCUCUGUGUUGUUUGUCUCUGGAUUUCCAGUGACUAUCAAAUAGGUGCUCAAGAAAUUGGAUAAUUAUGUGAAUGAAUUCAUGAAUUGAAUGAAUGAAUGAACAGACUAUGCUGUUCUGUUUGAAAAUAAGUAUGGACUUACAAGAAUGAAAAGUCUUCAACACUUGGAAUAUGUUUUCAAUAAAGAUCAGGCCUCUCAUCUAUAAUAAUUCUUACCAUUGACUUUC